UUUGCUACUUAAAUCUCUGCAACAUUUAGUAUCUUGUCUAAACCCAUUACGCUGAGUGCCAUCAUUAGGGGUUUGUCAUUGCUUCUUCUAUGCCUGAUCACAAUAAUCCCUGCUCUUAGCUUCCUCUUUGGACUAAUUAUCGAACAAUCCCUGCAUUUAGGAUAAACAAUUAAGUGUGAGGUGUGUAAUAAUUAUCGAACACAGGAAGAUUACUUACAAUUUUGUCUUUCUUUAUAUUUUGGAAAAGGAUUUAAGUCCUUGGGACUUGCUUAGGGCUGACAAAGUAUAGAUUUGACUUAGCGCCUGAAACUUACUGAUUUUCCAGGUUAUGACUUUUUUGUUUUGUUUAUGACAGACAUCUAUAUUGAACGGUGCUCAUAAUUUGGUUUCUAUUAUAGAAAGAUGAUCUUUCAAGGAUGUUUAGAAUGUUUGAUAAAAUAUACCAAGGCUUGGAUCCAAUCGCAUUUUGUCACUGCAGAAGGAACAUCACUUGUUAAACAAGCAGAAGAUGCAGCGGCUAAUAUUGUAAUGUUUCUAGCUAUGAUUUCAAAUUGAGUUGUUAAUAACAGUUAAAACAUAGUUCUAAUUUAGUUAUAGGCAUAAUGCUCAUCAUCUAGUUGGAACACUAAUAUCUGGUUCUGUGACAUGUUUAUGUAAACUUGCAUGACUUGCAUGUUCUUCAACAAGGGAGAAGGGAUACUAGUGGAACUCGAGAUCAGGUAAAGUUUUGUCCAUCCUUAUUUAGUUCACCACAUUAACAUUACAUUAAUGGAAGAUAGUCUUUUAUAACAUAUCUUUCAAUUAUGUCAUGUUUAAAUAGAAUGUUUUAAGAUUUGAUUUGUAUUGGUGGUUUAUUAAAUCAAAUUAAUAAGUGGGUCUUAGUUUUUACUAAUAGAACAAAUUUGAUUUCAGAUAAGGCAAUCAAAUUAAUAGGUGGGUCCUAAAUUCUACUGAAAGAAUAAUGUGAUUUUAGAUGAGCCACCUAAACAAGUCAAAGCUUAAAUCAGAAAUUCAAUUAUAAAUUAGUGUUAAAUUCAACAUCAUAUUGCACUAAUAGAAGACAGAUAGUCUUCUGCAAUACAUCUUUCAAUCAAGUCAUGUUUAAACAACACGUCUCAAGCUUUGACUUAUUUAGGUGCUCAUUUGAAAUUACACUUGUUUGUUCUUUUGGUGGAGCCUACCUAUUAGUGUGAUUUAAAAUGAGCCACCUAAAAAACUCAAAGCUUAAGCAAGAUUUUCAAUUCUAAAUUAGUAUUCUUUUAUACUUUGUAAGGAAAAAAGUGUUAUUUAGUUCACCAUAUUACACUAAUGGAAAAUAGAUAGUCUUCUGCAAUAUAUUUUUCAAUUAUAUUAGGUUUUAACAGCAUGUUUCAAGCUUUGACUUGUUCAGGUGGAUCAUCUGAAAUCACACUUUUUCUUUUAGUAAGACCCACUUCUUAGUGAUUUAAAAUGGACCACCUAAACAAGUCAAAGCUUAAACCAUAAUUUCAAUUAUAAAUUAUUGUUAAAGAAGUCCAUCUCCAUGGUAAUCAGUAGUAAUCACUAUAUCCAUGUAAUUGAUUGAAAUUUUGUAUUUGGAUGGUGACAAAAACAGUAAGAACUCCUCUUUUCCUUUAACCCUGGCACUGUGACCCUUGCGUUUUCUAGUGUUGUAGCUCCAUUAUGACUGCUAAAAUGACUUCUUGGACUAUAAAAAUGGACUUUAUUGAAUGGGCUGGAACAAAAUAUCUAUCAAAUGUACUAUUGACUUAGCCCUAUAAUUGCUACUUCAUGUCUUUAUGACUGUAUUUAAGUUGAGAAUAAUGGGUUUUGACUGCAACAAAAGUCUUCAAGACUUCUAAUCCUGGUGAAUGUCUUUCUUUCCUCUGUAUUUCUUGCUCACAACAUGUGAUUGUGUCUUUGCUUGUGGGUAUUAAUCAAUGUUCAUAAAUAUAGCCUCCAUGGGUUAGACAUAUUUAUGAUGCUACUCCAAUCAUCAUUGGCUGCUACCUUAGGCAUAUUUAUUGAUCACUAUCUUGUUACUAAUCACUAUCUUCCAAUGGACUGUGAUCUUUGUGAUAGGUUAUGUAGUAUGCUUUGUGUGGCACUCAUAGAGUGUUAUUAUACACUGAAUAACUGUGAUUGGCCAUGGCAUUGUAGUAUGAUCUUCAUUUGACUGUCCUCCAACCCAUGGCUCAAUUCAUUGACUGAGAAUGAUGGGUUAUUGUGAUAUUUAUAAAUGGUGUAUCAUUGGAGUUUCAAAUCUUUGAAAAUUUAUGGUCUCCAAUACUCUAAUAUCUGACACUAUAUUGUAACUUUAUUGUGAAUAGAAUUCAAGGAUGACCUCGAGCUCUAUGUAUACCCUAAUUUUAAAUAUAUUGGAAUUGAGUUAUUGAAGGUU